rnacentral:rRNA from 2 species
GGGUUGUGAGGUUAAGCGACUAAGCGUACACGGUGGAUGCCCUGGCAGUCAGAGGCGAUGAAGGGCGUACUAAUCUGCGAUAAGCGCCGGUAAGGUGAUAUGAACCGUUAUAACCGGCGAUACCCGAAUGGGGAAACCCAGUGUGAUUCGUCACACUAUCAUUAACUGAAUCCAUAGGUUAAUGAGGCGAACCGGGGGAACUGAAACAUCUAAGUACCCCGAGGAAAAGAAAUCAACCGAGAUUCCCCCAGUAGCGGCGAGCGAACGGGGAGGAGCCCAGAGCCUGAAUCAGCAUGUGUGUUAGUGGAAGCGUCUGGAAAGGCGCGCGAUACAGGGUGACAGCCCCGUACACAAAAGCGCAUGUGCUGUGAGCUCGAUGAGUAGGGCGGGACACGUGGUAUCCUGUCUGAAUAUGGGGGGACCAUCCUCCAAGGCUAAAUACUCCUGACUGACCGAUAGUGAACCAGUACCGUGAGGGAAAGGCGAAAAGAACCCCGGCGAGGGGAGUGAAAAAGAACCUGAAACCGUGUACGUACAAGCAGUGGGAGCACAGGUUUACCUGUGUGACUGCGUACCUUUUGUAUAAUGGGUCAGCGACUUAUAUUCUGUAGCAAGGUUAACCGAAUAGGGGAGCCGGAGGGAAACCGAGUCUUAAUUGGGCGUUAAGUUGCAGGGUAUAGACCCGAAACCCGGUGAUCUAGCCAUGGGCAGGUUGAAGGUUGGGUAACACUAACUGGAGGACCGAACCGACUAAUGUUGAAAAAUUAGCGGAUGACCUGUGGCUGGGGGUGAAAGGCCAAUCAAACCGGGAGAUAGCUGGUUCUCCCCGAAAGCUAUUUAGGUAGCGCCUCGUGAAUUCAUCUCCGGGGGUAGAGCACUGUUUCGGCUAGGGGGCCAUCCCGGCUUACCAACCCGAUGCAAACUGCGAAUACCGGAGAAUGUUAUCACGGGAGACACACGGCGGGUGCUAACGUCCGUCGUGAAGAGGGAAACAACCCAGACCGCCAGCUAAGGUCCCAAAGUCAUGGUUAAGUGGGAAACGAUGUGGGAAGGCCCAGACAGCCAGGAUGUUGGCUUAGAAGCAGCCAUCAUUUAAAGAAAGCGUAAUAGCUCACUGGUCGAGUCGGCCUGCGCGGAAGAUGUAACGGGGCUAAACCAUGCACCGAAGCUGCGGCAGCGACACUGUGUGUUGUUGGGUAGGGGAGCGUUCUGUAAGCCUGUGAAGGUGUGUCGUGAGGCAUGCUGGAGGUAUCAGAAGUGCGAAUGCUGACAUAAGUAACGAUAAAGCGGGUGAAAAGCCCGCUCGCCGGAAGACCAAGGGUUCCUGUCCAACGUUAAUCGGGGCAGGGUGAGUCGACCCCUAAGGCGAGGCCGAAAGGCGUAGUCGAUGGGAAACGGGUUAAUAUUCCCGUACUUGGUGUUACUGCGAAGGGGGGACGGAGAAGGCUAUGUUGGCCGGGCGACGGUUGUCCCGGUUUAAGCGUGUAGGUGUGUGUUCCAGGUAAAUCCGGUUCACUUUAACACUGAGGCGUGACGACGAGGCACUACGGUGCUGAAGCAACAAAUGCCCUGCUUCCAGGAAAAGCCUCUAAGCAUCAGGUAACAUCAAAUCGUACCCCAAACCGACACAGGUGGUCAGGUAGAGAAUACCAAGGCGCUUGAGAGAACUCGGGUGAAGGAACUAGGCAAAAUGGUGCCGUAACUUCGGGAGAAGGCACGCUGACACGUAGGUGAAGUGAUUUACUCAUGGAGCUGAAGUCAGUCGAAGAUACCAGCUGGCUGCAACUGUUUAUUAAAAACACAGCACUGUGCAAACACGAAAGUGGACGUAUACGGUGUGACGCCUGCCCGGUGCCGGAAGGUUAAUUGAUGGGGUCAGCGCAAGCGAAGCUCCUGAUCGAAGCCCCGGUAAACGGCGGCCGUAACUAUAACGGUCCUAAGGUAGCGAAAUUCCUUGUCGGGUAAGUUCCGACCUGCACGAAUGGCGUAAUGAUGGCCAGGCUGUCUCCACCCGAGACUCAGUGAAAUUGAACUCGCUGUGAAGAUGCAGUGUACCCGCGGCAAGACGGAAAGACCCCGUGAACCUUUACUAUAGCUUGACACUGAACAUUGAGCCUUGAUGUGUAGGAUAGGUGGGAGGCUUUGAAGUGUGGACGCCAGUCUGCAUGGAGCCGACCUUGAAAUACCACCCUUUAAUGUUUGAUGUUCUAACGUGGACCCGUUACCCGGGUUGCGGACAGUGUCUGGUGGGUAGUUUGACUGGGGCGGUCUCCUCCUAAAGAGUAACGGAGGAGCACGAAGGUUGGCUAAUCCUGGUCGGACAUCAGGAGGUUAGUGCAAUGGCAUAAGCCAGCUUGACUGCGAGCGUGACGGCGCGAGCAGGUGCGAAAGCAGGUCAUAGUGAUCCGGUGGUUCUGAAUGGAAGGGCCAUCGCUCAACGGAUAAAAGGUACUCCGGGGAUAACAGGCUGAUACCGCCCAAGAGUUCAUAUCGACGGCGGUGUUUGGCACCUCGAUGUCGGCUCAUCACAUCCUGGGGCUGAAGUAGGUCCCAAGGGUAUGGCUGUUCGCCAUUUAAAGUGGUACGCGAGCUGGGUUUAGAACGUCGUGAGACAGUUCGGUCCCUAUCUGCCGUGGGCGCUGGAGAACUGAGGGGGGCUGCUCCUAGUACGAGAGGACCGGAGUGGACGCAUCACUGGUGUUCGGGUUGUCAUGCCAAUGGCACUGCCCGGUAGCUAAAUGCGGAAGAGAUAAGUGCUGAAAGCAUCUAAGCACGAAACUUGCCCCGAGAUGAGUUCUCCCUGAGACUUAGAGUCUCCUGAAGGAACGUUGAAGACGACGACGUUGAUAGGCCGGGUGUGUAAGCGCAGCGAUGCGUUGAGCUAACCGGUACUAAUGAACCGUGAGGCUUAACCUUACAACGCCGAAG